AAGUAAAAUUAAUUAUUUUGGAGAAAGAUUUAAUGCUAAUGACAUUGAGUUGUAAAUAAGUCCAAAUCCAGGAUUUAUUUGUUAAAAUGGCUUCAAAAAUGUAUAUAUAGAUACCUGCAAAAUCUCCAUCGCUCCUGUUAACAGUUUCUUCUCUUGGUGGGAUUUUAUUU
rnacentral:sRNA from 1 species